CCGAGUUAGGGUCUUUUGGCCCGACCUCCAACCCUUUGUUUAUUAUACCAUGUUGCUUUGGUGGGCCUGCCUUUCGGGGCUGCCGGGGGCAUCACUGCCCCUGACUCGUGCCUGCCAGGAGCCUUCUUAAAUUCAGUGUUCAACGGUGCUGUCUGAGUCCCACUAUCAAAAUAUCAAA
rnacentral:misc_RNA from 1 species